CAGUCGCCGCGGUAAUACGAAGGGUGCAAGCGUUAAUCGGAAAUACUGGGCGUAAAGCGUGCGUAGGCGGUUUGUUAAGUCUGUUGUGAAAUCCCCGGGCUCAACCUGGGAAUGGCAAUGGAUACUGGCAAGCUAGAGUGUGUCAGAGGAUGGUGGAAUUCCCGGUGUAGCGGUGAAAUGCGUAGAGAUCGGAAGGAACAUCUGUGGCGAAGGCGACUAUCUGGGCCAACACUGACACUGAGGCACGAAAGCGUGGGGAGCAAACAGGAUUAGAUACCCGAGUAGUCCCUGUCUCUUAUAC
rnacentral:rRNA from 1 species